rnacentral:snRNA from 1 species
UUGCUUUGGGCAGUACAUAUACUAGAAUGGGAACGAUACAGAGAAGAUUAGCAUGGCCCCUGCGCAAGGAUGACAUGCAAAUACGUUCUUUACUUUUUU